rnacentral:misc_RNA from 1 species
GACCCGUUCUAAUAUGGUAUACAGUGAAUCAUAUGCCAAUACAAGUUUCGUAACGUAUCCUAAACCUGCUUCUAAUGUUAUUGUGGGAACUAAGGAAAGAAAUAUUACAGUUACCUGGGAAAGACGCAAAAGUUUUUCCUACAUAGUUUGUUUAACAAAUAUACACAACUGUUCUGAAAAGGAAAACACAAACACACAUACAUUUACGAAUCUGGUAGCUGGAAAAUCAUAUGAUUUAUCUAUCAUUGUACAUUCUCUUGGGAGAAACAGCAGUGAAUAUAGCAAAACUAUAAUACUCCCUCCAUUACCACCAACUAGUGCGACAAAAAAUCUUACAAACAAUAAAUUGUUUAUAGAAUGGUAUAUUGAUAGUACUAUAUCUGUUGCAAGUGAAUGGUAUAUUGAAUAUGUGACUGAGAACAACACUAAAUAUUUUACUGUGCCCAUCAGAAACACAACCUUGGACUUAGAAAGUGGUAAAGAAUAUGGAAUUAAAAUAUGGAGCAAAUCUCUUGGUGUAAAGAGUGAUACCUAUUUAUAUAUAAGUCUUUAUACUGCUCCAGAAGAAGUAGUGAAUAUAACUGUAAAGGAAUCUGUUUCUGAAUUAAUAUUAUUUUGGUCACCUCCUUCACAGUCAAUAAUCACACGCUACAAAGUAGGUUAUUCCGAAUCAUGUUCAAAGAGUCAAGACUGCGUACCCUGUGGGGAUGUAAAACAGAACAAAGGAAGCUCUAAAUUUAACGUGGAUGAUUUUGAAUAUACAAAUGAGACAUCAUAUACAUUCUCAAUCAAACCGGGUUGUUGUUAUCGCACAAUAAUUUGGGCGUUUAACAAAAAUGUAAAAGGGAAACCAACUUAUCACAAAUGUAGAACAACAUCUUUUGAACCACCAGUUGAAAACAAGCCUGAUAACAUACAGUUAACUUCCGCUACCACUAAGUCAUUUACAGUGACUUUAAAACCGAACCCUUUCAAAGAAACCCGUGGACCAAUUAUUAAUUAUAACAUAAUUAUUGCUGUAGACAAAAACACAAAGCAUACUAAUAAAAUGUAUCUUCCCAGCUGGAAACAAUUUAAAGAUGAUGGAGCCAUUAAAGCAUAUCAGAUAUUUAAGAAUUGCAGUAACCUUUACGAGAAGUCAAAUGCUUGCAGUGAUCUCAAAAGUAAAUCAAAACGGAGUUUAGAUGAUACUAUUCAAUAUGGAAUUGGCACUCAAGAUUGUGACAUUGUAGAAGGCUUUUGCAAUGGCUAUUUAAUGCCAGACACUGAAUAUUAUAUUAAAGUCAGAGCCUAUACAUUUGAUACAUUUUCAGACACAAGCUAUUCAUCAGCAAUCAAAACUGCAAAAGAAAAAAUGGAAGGUUAUCUCAUUGCAAUUAUUGUACUAAUAGUUCUACUAAUUAUUGCUGUGAUUGUUGGCAUUAUCCUAUAUGUGGUGAGAAAAAGGAGAACAAAACCCAAGUCAGUUGUUGCAACUGAGAGUCCUUACAUUAUGCAACCCACAAGCCAUCCUGUUAGGGCAUCGGACUUUGAAUCACAUUUUGUACAGAUGUCUGCAGAUUCUGAUUAUCGAUUUGCAGAAGAAUUUGAAAGCAUAAAAGAUGUUGGUAAAUACAAUCAGACAUUGGCUGCACAUUUGUCAAACAAUCGUAUAAAAAAUCGCUUUGUCAACAUCUUACCGUAUGACUUCAGCAGAGUUAAAUUGAGUAAAAGUAGUGAUGAUGAUGAUGAAGGAUCUGAUUACAUAAAUGCUAAUUAUAUUCCAGGAUUCAUUUCUCGCCGUGAAUACAUUGCAACACAAGGACCACUAAGUUCUACACGAGAUGAUUUUUGGCGUAUGGUAUGGGAACAAAAUGUCCACAACAUUGUGAUGUUGGCUAACUGUAUUGAGAAACAUCGUGAAAAGUGUGAUCAUUAUUGGCCAGAUAACGAUGAAACAAGAUGUUAUGGAAAUAUAAAAGUAGAGAAGUUGAAUGAAACUAUAACAUCAGAUUGGACAGUCACAGAGUUUCUAGUGUCAAAUCAAGACCGUGUAACCAGACAUUUACAUCAUUAUCACUUCACGUCAUGGCCAGACUUUGGCGUUCCAAGCAGCCCUCAAUCAACUGUUACAUUUGUCAGGCUUGUGCGUGAUAAGCUGCAAAACAUUGGGCCUCUUGUGGUACACUGCAGUGCUGGAGUAGGUCGAACUGGAACAUUCAUUUCUGUAGAUCGCAGUUUGCAAGACUUGGAAAAGAAUAAUGAAGUUGAUGUUUUGAGUGUUGUUCAUGAAAUGAGGCAGUACCGUUCCUUUAUGGUGCAAACAGAAGAACAGUACAUAUAUAUCCAUCGCUGUAUACUACAUGUAAUAAAAGGAGAUAACAAAGAUAUCUAUGAAAAUGAGACUUACAUGAAUGAAGAUAUAUAUGAAAAUACAAAAGCAGGCCAAGUAAAUAAAGCAUUUUUGUAUGAUGAUGAAGGCAUCCACGUUGAUUCUGCCUGACCUGGUGAAGGCAAUCAUGUAGUUUCUACUUGACCUGGCAUAUGAUUUGGUGCAAAUGCAGGCAGGGAAGAUCUGCUUUUUUUAAAACUGUGUAUGAAAAGAUAAACUAUAUUUUUCUACUUGAACUGUGUAUAAAACAAGAAAGAAAAGAAAAAACAAGAACAUUGAAAUGCUUGAUCCACAAUUGACCAGACAUCUCAUGUCAGACAAUAGGCAAGCAAGCAGACACCUCACCAGACCAUAAGCAAGCAGCCUAAGAUAUAAUCAAGUCCAAUGGCAUUACUUUUGUCAAAGCUUCCAAGGACAAGGAACGUCUGGUGAGUAACAAGACAGGGUGUUUUGGAGGAAGUGAUUGCUUGCAGUUGCUUCAAUCAACUUCUGAGAAGUUAGAAAUGAGAGUGACAGAUUGACAAUUGUAGGGUGACAGUUAUUCUAAAGAUAAACACUGUAAUAUGUUUCAAAAGAUCAGGAAAGAUCAAUGGAGUAAGAGAGAGACAGACAUUCACC